rnacentral:rRNA from 1 species
GACGGGUGAGUAACGCGUGGGUAACCUGCCUUAUACUGGGGGAUAACAGCCAGAAAUGACUGCUAAUACCGCAUAAGCGCACAGAACCGCAUGGUUCGGUGUGAAAAACUCCGGUGGUAUAAGAUGGACCCGCGUUGGAUUAGCUAGUUGGCAGGGCAGCGGCCUACCAAGGCGACGAUCCAUAGCCGGCCUGAGAGGGUGAACGGCCACAUUGGGACUGAGACACGGCCCAGACUCCUACGGGAGGCAGCAGUGGGGAAUAUUGCACAAUGGGGGAAACCCUGAUGCAGCGACGCCGCGUGAAGGAAGAAGUAUCUCGGUAUGUAAACUUCUAUCAGCAGGGAAGAUAAUGACGGUACCUGACUAAGAAGCCCCGGCUAACU